rnacentral:rRNA from 1 species
CCUACGGGAGGCAGCAGUCGGGAAUCUUGCACAAUGGGCGAAGGCCUGAUGCAGCAACACCGUGUGAGCGAUGAAGGCCCUAGGGUCGUAAAGCUCUGUUGUUAGGGACGAAGGGCGAAGGGUUAAUAGCCCUUAGCCUGACGGUACCUUUCGAGGAAGCCCCGGCUAACUACGUGCCAGCAGCCGCGGUAAUACGUAGGGGGCGAGCGUUGUCCGGAAUUAUUGGGCGUAAAGAGCGUGUAGGCGGCUUGGUAAGUCUGCUGUGAAACCUUGGGGCUCAACCCCAAGCGUGCAGUGGAUACUGUCAAGCUAGAGGAUGGUAGAGGCCAGUGGAAUUCCCGGUGUAGCGGUGAAAUGCGCAGAUAUCGGGAGGAACACCAGUAGCGAAGGCGGCUGGCUGGGCCAUUCCUGACGCUGAGACGCGAAAGCUAGGGGAGCGAACAGGAUUAGAUACCCUGGUAGUCCUAGCCGUAAACGAUGAACACUAGGUGUGGGGGGAGUCGAAUCCCUCCGUGCCGAAGCCAACGCGUUAAGUGUUCCGCCUGGGGAGUACGGCCGCAAGGCUAAAACUCAAAUGAAUUGACGGGG